rnacentral:lncRNA from 1 species
UCGCAAAAAAAAAAAAAAAGGGAGAAAUCCCACUGAAGUCCCACAUGCACAACCAAGGUGCCGGGCGAGGUGUUGGAGUCCCAGCAUCGGGAAGUGGCCGACUCGCGGGCUGGUAAGAAGAAUUUACCAAUGACAGUAUGGGUUUGGAAGAGGAAAGUUUUAUUAGGAAGAAAGAAUGCUGCAGAGGAGGGCAGUGGGUGCCUCUGCCGGAGGACUCGGCACCACUGGGGAUUUUCCUUAGGAGCAUUUCUGGACCUCACGGCGGGAGCUGAAGGGUGAUUCGCACGAUAAAUGCUACAUUUGUAGACAUUCUGGUGCCUUAGUGACGGCAGGGGGUGCACACUGAGUUUCAUCAGCCAUGCAUUCCAGAGAUGUAUAGAAAUUCUAGUUACUUAUAAACGUUAGGUUGAAAGGAGGCCUGGAACCAGGUGCCAACUUUAGAUGAUGGAGAAGUUUAAUUACUUCUAAAUUCCUCAAAUACGGAGCUUUGCCUCUGGAUGGCCUGCCUGAUGGUCACCAGGUGGUCUUUGCUGGCCUCAGCCAGCUCACAGGUUGUGAGCUGGCCUCUCUGCCAGCAGUGCUCGCUCCUGUCUUUGCUCAGCUCCCCGUCCCUCCCCAGGGAGUCAUCCCAAUUGUCCAAUGUCCUCAGCUGCCAUCAGGCCACUUGCCCCACCUGUCACAUCAUCUGUUGACUGCCUGUCCUCCCUGGGGCAGGACCCCCUCUAUGCAGCUCUGUGUGCCCGGCAUGGCAUGUGUGAGAGCAUAGAAGGUCUGGUCACAGAGUUGGCUGACUGGUCCUGGAGGGUGGGUGGACCGCCCUCGGAAAGCCAGAGAGGUGUGUGUGCUUUGUUCCAGGACGCAAGGUGUUGUUCGCUUGUCCUCUGUCAACGUAACCUGGAGAAGCUGUUGCAACCACCAAGGGAGGGUGUUUCCUCAGGCCAAGAGCUUAUUGGGAGCUUAGGAGCUACUGACGACAGCAAGCUGCAGGGCAGUGACCAUAGAAUCCGAACCAGAAAGUGGAACAGCUGAUAAAGAGGCUGCCCGGGCAGGUGUGGCCUCAGAUUGUGAGGGGCUGGCCCCAUCUGCCGCCCCUGCCCCGCCUUCAUGAGGCCAGCGUUCUGGAUACUGGGGAGCUCCGCUGGGGAAACAGCACCCUCCACACAUCUCAGCGGCGAGCAGUGGGUGCGGGGUGCAUUGCAGCUCCAGGAAUAUCGUGUCCUAGUCCUAACUCCUGUGAAAAUGGCCUUGUACUGGGGCCUUUGCUGAUGUGAUCAGGUAAAGGGCAUGCUGGAUGAGGGUGGGCCCUAGCCCAGUUGAGGUCGGAGGCCAGCAGGACUCAUUCUCCAGACUGGACUGAAGACAGGCCAAAAGCAGCAAGCAGCACGGAGGACAUCCUCUGACCACCCUCACUGCCCAUCAGCCAGAACACCCGCACCAGCACCAGGACAGUUUACAACGGCACGGCAAUGCCCGGAAGUCACGGCCCAUUUCCAUGGCAACAACUGGAAGUUACCGCCCAUUUUCUAGCAAUUUCUGAAUAACCUGCCCCUUCAUUUGCAUGCCAUUAAAAGAGGGUAUAAAUACGGCUGCUGGUCACCCAUGCGGCUCCCUGCCCAUGGGUAGCCCCGCUCCACCGGAGCAGGCACGGAGCUGCGGCACUGCCACUGCCUCCCCGAAGCUGCUUUCUUUCACCGCUGGCUCACACUUGAAUUCUUUCCUGAGCAAAGCCAGGAAUUUCCCCUGCAUCACAGUGACUGGUGUCCCUCUGAGAAAAGAGAAAGCUGGAUACAGGCACAGAGGCAGACACACAGGGAAAAAGCCACGCAGCCAGAGACAGAGCGGGGUGGUGCAGCUGCGACAAGGAGCCCCGGGGCUGCUGGCAACCACCAGAACCUAGAGGAGGCCAGGAAGG